UCGAGCGGACCGACGGGAGCUUGCUCCCUUAGGUCAGCGGCGGACGGGUGAGUAACACGUGGGUAACCUGCCUGUAAGACUGGGAUAACUCCGGGAAACCGGGGCUAAUACCGGAUGCUUGAUUGAACCGCAUGGUUCAAUCAUAAAAGGUGGCUUUUAGCUACCACUUGCAGAUGGACCCGCGGCGCAUUAGCUAGUUGGUGAGGUAACGGCUCACCAAGGCGACGAUGCGUAGCCGACCUGAGAGGGUGAUCGGCCACACUGGGACUGAGACACGGCCCAGACUCCUACGGGAGGCAGCAGUAGGGAAUCUUCCGCAAUGGACGAAAGUCUGACGGAGCAACGCCGCGUGAGUGAUGAAGGUUUUCGGAUCGUAAAACUCUGUUGUUAGGGAAGAACAAGUACCGUUCGAAUAGGGCGGUACCUUGACGGUACCUAACCAGAAAGCCACGGCUAACUACGUGCCAGCAGCCGCGGUAAUACGUAGGUGGCAAGCGUUGUCCGGAAUUAUUGGGCGUAAAGCGCGCGCAGGCGGUUUCUUAAGUCUGAUGUGAAAGCCCCCGGCUCAACCGGGGAGGGUCAUUGGAAACUGGGGAACUUGAGUGCAGAAGAGGAGAGUGGAAUUCCACGUGUAGCGGUGAAAUGCGUAGAGAUGUGGAGGAACACCAGUGGCGAAGG
rnacentral:rRNA from 1 species